GUUCAACGGCCGCGGUAUCCUAACCGUGCGAAGGUAGCGUAAUCACUUGUUCUUUAAAUAAGGACUAGUAUGAAAGGCAUCACGAGGGUUAUACUGUCUCCUCUUUCUAAUCAGUGAAACUAAUCUCCCCGUGAAGAAGCGGGGAUUUACAUAUAAGACGAGAAGACCCUAUGGAGCUUUAAAUGACAAUAACAAUUGCUAUAACAUUUUUUAUUCCAGAAAAUUUACUUUUAUCCUAGCAUCAUGAUUAUUAAUUUUAGGUUGGGGUGACCGCGGAGUAUAAAACAACCUCCAUAUUGAAAUAGAAUCCUAAUUCUUAGCAAAAAGUUACAACUUUACGCAUCAACAAAUUGACAUCAAUUGACCCAAUAUUUUGACCAACGAACCAAGUUACCCUAGGGAUAACAGCGCAAUCCACUUCAAGAGCUCAUAUCGACAAGUGGGUUUACGACCUCGAUGUUGGAUCAGGGUACCCCAGUGGUGCAGCCGCUACUAAAGGUUCGUUUGUUCAACGAUUAAAACCC
rnacentral:rRNA from 1 species